UUUUUACCUUUACAAUUUCUUGUAAGAUUUUUUCAGAUAGAAAGUUUUUACUGCUGCCUUGGAUGUUGAAAUUGUGGACUUUGGAAAAGUUACAGUUUGGAAGAGGACUUGGAUAGUUAAAAAAUGGAAUUGAAGAAACAAGCUCUACCAUGUCUUCCAGUGACUGAGGACUUGUACAGAACGACAAACAAGAUAAAUAGUAUAAUAG